AAUCUGUCAAAUGGACAAGAGAGGGGCAUUAAUCCCUAAUCCUCUUAUGACAGGACGGUCUGGUGAUCUCAUCAAUCUGAGUACUGGACUAUUAAGAUCUGAAAUCUAAUUUCAAAUAAAAAUCACAUCUAUAUAUAAUUGUCAAAAUAAAAUAGGCGUGAACAUGAUUUUGAUCAUAUCAAUCAUGAUUUUCAUCUAAUCUAAUC
rnacentral:lncRNA from 1 species